rnacentral:tRNA from 1 species
AAUAAAGUGCCUGAUAAAAGGAGCACUCUGAUACAGUGUAUAUGUGAUACACCUUUAUUA